GAUGAACGCUGGCGGCGUGCCUAAUACAUGCAAGUAGAACGCUGAAGGAGGAGCUUGCUCUUCUGGAUGAGUUGCGAACGGGUGAGUAACGCGUAGGUAACCUGCCUGGUAGCGGGGGAUAACUAUUGGAAACGAUAGCUAAUACCGCAUGACAACAGUUAUUGCAUGAUAACUGUUUAAAAGGGGCAACUGCUCCACUACCAGAUGGACCUGCGUUGUAUUAGCUAGUUGGUGAGGUAACGGCUCACCAAGGCGACGAUACAUAGCCGACCUGAGAGGGUGAUCGGCCACACUGGGACUGAGACACGGCCCAGACUCCUACGGGAGGCAGCAGAAGGGAAUCUUCGGCAAUGGACGGAAGUCUGACCGAGCAACGCCGCGUGAGUGAAGAAGGUUUUCGGAUCGUAAAGCUCUGUUGUAAGAGAAGAACGAGUGUGAGAGUGGAAAGUUCACACUGUGACGGUAUCUUACCAGAAAGGGACGGCUAACUACGUG
rnacentral:rRNA from 1 species